rnacentral:rRNA from 1 species
CCUACGGGAGGCAGCAGUGGGGGAUAUUGCACAAUGGGGGGAACCCUGAUGCAGCGACGCCGCGUGGGUGAAGGAGCGUUUCGGCGCGUAAAGCCCUAUCGGCAGGGAAGAAGGAGGACGGUACCUGACUAAGAAGCUCCGGCUAACUACGUGCCAGCAGCCGCGGCAAUACGGAGGGGGCAAGCGUUAUCCGGAUUUACUGGGUGUAAAGGGGGCGCAGACGGCAGCGCAAGCCAGGAGUGAAAGCCCGGGGCCCAACCCCGGGACUGCUUUUGGAACCGCGCAGCUGGAGUGCGGGAGGGGCAGGCGGAAUUCCUGGUGUAGCGGUGAAAUGCGUAGAUAUCAGGAGGAACACCGGUGGCGAAGGCGGGCUGCUGGACUGCUACUGACAUUGAGGCCCGAAAGCGUAGGGAGCAAACGGGAUUAGAUACCCGGGUAGUC